AAUUUUUACUCUCCCCAUUUUCACAUUUCUUGUGUUUUCAUCUUUGAUUUUCUUCGAAACUUGUUUCAAUUCUUUAACUCGGGGGUUUUUUACAAGCUUCAAUUAUUGUUCAGUAUCAGAGAAAAUUUGCGAUUUUGACUUCUUUAGAGUAUUCAAAGUGAUUUUUCGUUGAGGUAAGAACCACGGGCUUUCUUCUUCUUCUUCUUCUUUGAUUAUGAUUUUAGCGUAAAAAUGGGUUUUAGGGGUCAUUUUUGUUAUUAUUCAAUCGUGGAUUCUGUUUUCAUGGCGUUUUGAUCAUGUGGGAAGAGAGGAAAUGUUAAGUUUCAGCUCAAAAUUUGGUUCUUCUGAAAAAGAAAUUGUCAGGGCUUUGUUUCUCCUAUAUUUGAAUUUGAAGGAAUAGGCGAGUCUGGUGAUCUUGAAGUAGAAAGUUUUUAUUUUUGCUGGAUGACGAAUCAUGUAAGUUUAUUCUCUUAUUUUAUGUUUCUAAAUUUUAUUUUUUUGGGUUUGGUACUAUGUUUCUGGAUUAUUUGGUCAUCUGCAACUGAACAGUGAGAUUAUCCGUUAGUGAGAUUCUUGGGGUUUUGCUGUUUCUGGAACUGGGUUUUAUCGCCCAAUGAAAUUAUGGAACUGGAUAUGGCGACAGAAGCUUUUGGGGUUUGUUGACUUGCGAACACUGAUUUGAUGAAGAAUAGGGAAGUAAAAUUGGGAGUGGAAAUUGACAUACUUUUGGGCUGAAAAGAAUUAUAGUUGGUGUUGGGGGACUUGGAUUUUAAAGUGAAGAAGAAAUUGGUCAUUUGAAGUUAAGUGGAUUUUUAGGGUUUUCUUGUUCUUGAGGCUGAACUUAAAAAUGGAUGACACUGAGGAUGAUGCAAGGUACCCCCCAAACCCAUAUGGUGUGAAUCACCAGCAGGGUUAUGGUUCUUCAAAUCGACAAAAACUUCCUGUGAAGAAUUCUCCAUAUUCCAGGACAGUGGGCAAUCAAUAUGUUGAUGAUGACGAGGAAGAUGAGAAUGAAGGAGAAGAUGAAGAGGAGUUGGGGGAGGAUGAUGGGGAGAAUAAUCAAAAUAAUGGUAUCCAGUAUGUGGGAAAGGAAGUGGAUGAUGAUGACUACGAUGAGGAUGAUGAGGAUGCAGAUGUUGAUGAAGAAGAGGAUGAGGAGGAUAAUCAAAAGAACUAUAGUAGGAGGAUCAAUGAUGUUGAUUUGGAAAGGCAUCCUAAGAUGCGAAAGCUAAAGAGCAUAGUUUCAAGCUAUGAAUUUGCACCUCGUGUCCCAGCACCUCCUGUUACUGCCUCAUCAGCUCCAAAACCUUCAUUUGCUGGGCGGAAUCCACUUACUGAUUGGACUGAG
rnacentral:misc_RNA from 1 species